rnacentral:rRNA from 1 species
CCGACGGUGAGGGACGAAAGCUGGGGGAGCAAACCGGAUUAGAUACCCGGGUAGUCCCAGCCGUAAACGAUGUGCGUUAGGUGUAUCGGUGACCACGAGUCACCGAGGUGCCGAAGAGAAAUCGUGAAACGUACCGCCUGGGAAGUACGGUCGCAAGGCUGAAACUUAAAGGAAUUGGCGGGGGAGCACCACAACAGGUGGAGCCUGCGGUUUAAUCGGACUCAACGCCGGGAAACUCACCAGAUAAGACAGCUGAAUGAUAGUCGGGCUGAAGACUCUACUUGACUAGCUGAGAGGGGUGCAUGGCCGCGUCAGUUCGUACUGUGAAGCAUCCUGUUAAGUCAG